AAGUUACUCUCUCCGUUUCAAAAUACUUGACUUUUAUUUAUUAAAAAAUAAAUGUAUCUAUAUACUAAAACAUGUCUACAUACAUUUAUAUUUUGACAAAUGAAAGACAUAUAUUGUGAAACGGAGGGAGUACAUG
rfam:Triticum urartu cultivar G1812 contig718309, whole genome shotgun sequence.